GAAAACAAGAGCGAGUUAUUGGUUUACUGGGAUUCACGAUUUUCCAAUGAGAGAGAAUUCCAUUCCCAGUGCCCAUGAGCUUCCGUGCGACGCGAAGAAGACUUGCAGGGCACAAAUUCAGAAAAACAAACUGAAAUUUAAAACGGGGCAGAUGCUGAGAUGACACUGAUUUUCUUGAAGCUUUUGUAGCCCUGGAAUAUACGUACAGGUUUCUAUUGGCAUGCCUGAUUUAUCUUAAUGGAACUUAUGCUUGCUCUUUAUUUCUCCUUCAAAUCAAUAGCUAUUCUGUAGAUACCUCUACAUUUUGUACAAGAUAGAGCAAAAUUUUGGAAUAUGAUUCACCCGGGUACUACAACUUUACUAAACACUAGUUUUGAACACCUUACGGCUUUACAGUUAUAUAGAGAUACUGUUGGGAAUUCCCUUGCCAGUAAGUCCACCCUCUCUAGAGUCAUCUGUGGUGUUAGGGAAAAGCAAGGUAUAAGGCACCUUGACAGGCCCAAGUCUAUUCCUCCAUUUCUCGUCGUUGUUCAUAUCUAUAAUUUUCUUUUCAAUUUCUUUCAGCCUUUUUGCAAAUCUUUCAAAUGCUGCUAGUGGUUCAGGAUCUGAAGUCCAUUCAGUAAUAUCUCUCUGCCCAAGGUAGACCUCAUCAGUUGAAUGCCUUGAUAAAAUCUCAAUGAGGGAUACACCAAGGAGGGUUUGUAGCUGGGCUGUGAUUGUUUUCAGGAAGGCAAGGUCUGGAUCUCUCUCCAGUUCUGCAUAAUCAGGGGUGCCUGGCUCAGGCAUGAAACGGCGACUUACUGUUGGACGGUUAGGGAGGUAGCCAGCAUAAGGAUAUUGCCCAAAAUUGACAGCUGCAUGGAGGGCUGAAGCUAUCCAUAUGAUAAUAGUGCAUGUUUGUGUAAGAUCAGCUUGUGUCUGCAUUUCAGGCCACCAUGGUUCAUCUUUCUUGUCACCAUGGCCAACAUUGCGAAUCUCUGUCCACCAUGAUUGCAGUUCAUUAUCAUUUCGAACAAGUUCAUUUGUUGGGUAGUAGAAAGCACAAUAUUCCUCAACCCAAGUUUUGAUUGCAGACCAGAUUUCUAAACCAUCAACAGCAUAAGGGUAAUCUUCUAUCAGAAGUCUGAGACCAUGCGACUGCCUUGAAUCUGGAACUGCUACUCCUCUGAAAUGUAGCAGAACUAGGAUGAAUUUUUGUUUCUCCAGAGAUCAAAAGAUUGGAUAAAAGGCCAUUAUACAGUUUAAGGUUCUGUUAUUUACCUCUUGAGCAGAUCAGCAGGGAGUGCCUGCUCAGGGAAAACCCAAUUCUUGUAAACAACAGCAGACAGUUCCAUGGCAUAUUUGGCUGGGAAGACAGUAUUCUCGAGUACCCCUCCAGCAUUGAUCAGAAUCUGCCUAGCUAAGGCAUUUAUGUUCAUUGUAUCACGGAAGUGGGGUUGCAGAAGUUUAUAUAUCGGAUGAAGAACACUCAACUGUCUGUUUGUAGCAAUUAUGAAUGGCUCUAUCACAGCAUGGGUGUUUAACCUGCAAACGAAGGCACAAGCAUUGAGGCAUGCGUUCUACAUCAGAACACAUUUUACCUUGUGCUACUAUAUAGCCUCAUUCUUGAAUCAUACCAGUGGCUAAUGAGCUGAUGGUAUCCAGAAUCAUUUACAGCGGCAUAAGCCUUGGCCAGCUGCCACACUGAGCCCUCAACGCCGUAUUCUGCUGGAGUGAAAACUUUGCUGACAGCACCAUGACGUUGCCCUUGCGGAUGUGGGAGACUUAAUUCAAUAGCCAAUGGCUUCAAUGUCCCAUCAUCUUGUAGUAAAAGGACUGUUCUCGUAGCAUAAGUCUUUGUGGUUGUUGAGUUUAUUUUUGUCAAGUAUGGCAUCAAUGCAUCAUGAUGAUCUAAUAUAAACAGUCUGUUACUUCUGAUUGCCUACAAAUGUAGAUAAGAAGUUAAAAAAAAAGGUGUUUCUUGAUUGUAAGAUUGGUUUUCAAGCACGAAUAAAGACAUGAAAGAAAAGGAGCGUGUUUAGUACUUGAUCUA